AGAGUACGUGAAACCGUUCAGGGGUAAACCUGAGAAACCCGAAAGGUCGAAAGGGGAGAUUCAGCGUGUCUCGAUUGCGGCGCUGGACGGUCGUGCGACGGAAGACGUACGCGUCAUCCGCACCUUCCGUCUUCCGAACCGUAGUCGAACGCGUGCACUUCUCCCCCUGUAGGACGUCGCGAUCCGUUGGGUGCCGGUCUAAGGCCCGCAAUGGAGCCCGUUCGGACGGUUUACCGUUCCGGACGAACUUGCGGUGUUUCCCGGUCGGCUCGCUCGACGGUAUACAGAUGGCGCGGGGCCGCUACACAUUAGUUAGCGUCCGACCGGCGGCAAGCACGCUCGUCGUGACGGUGAUCGGACCUGGUGCCGGUCCUGUCCCCGAGUGGCUGUUCGCUGCCGUGUUCUCGGACAGACCUCGUUGAAACGCCGAUCUGCGACGCUAUAGCUUUGGGUACUUUCAGGACCCGUCUUG
rnacentral:rRNA from 1 species